rnacentral:lncRNA from 1 species
GCGCCGACCUUGAUCUCGUAGCCGGCGCCAGCAGCCGCGCUUUGGGGCGUCGGCUCACGUGGGGCCGGCAACGCGUCUUCCAGGAUGUUCGCGCGCUAGUCGCCGCUGAGGGGCCGGCGAUGCGCGAGGAGUUCCGGCGAGGAAGGUCGGUCAGUGGACAUGGCCGAGGCCCGCGGUGUCCGCGUGUGGGAGCUGCAGGGCUGAGGAGAGGCCGCCCGCAACCCUCGGGAAUCGUGUGAGGUGCCACUGGGGUCGCUUCACAUCAGGAGGCCCCGUCUCGGGGGACGCGCGCAGGAACAGAAUUGCCAUUGGGCCCAGGGAGAGACUACACUUCUUGUCUGCUUUGUUGCUAGUGCGGCCUUGUGGCCAAGCACAGAACGUGUGCAGUGAUGAUGGUGCAACUUCUAGGUCGUCCCCAGCAUGGAAAAUGAGCCCUGGGCAUGGAAGAUGAGCCCUGGUCCUGCAGCGGUGCUCUUUCCUCUUCUCACAAGCUGGAAUGUGCAUGUGCUCCCACCCAGCUUUGACCAUGGGGCGAAAACAGUACUCUGCAGUCUGGCAGAGCAACAAGGUGGAAAGGGCCUGGGUCCUUGAGUGACGUCAUGAGCCCUCUCACUGUCCCGACUUUGGGACUGUUAUAUGAUAAGGACUUUCUGUGAGUCACUGUCUUUUAGAGUCUCUCUGUUUUAGCUGCCUGGACUUUAUCCUGAAUAAUAUGGCUGUUAUCAUGGGUAUAGUGUUACUAUGAGCCUCAUCUAAGUAAUUUCUACUCUGCCUUUGACCACUAAACUCAUGUUGGACAAGA